rnacentral:tRNA from 1 species
GAUUAUUUAGUUUAGUGAAAAUAAAUGUUUUGAAAGCAUAAGACAAGAGUUUAUCAUACCUCUUAAUAAUCG